rnacentral:ncRNA from 1 species
UCUUUAUACAUAAGGCACCUCGUUAAUUUUGUUUAUUGGUAUUUAUUAAAUUAUACGAAAGACCUUAUUUUUUUAAGUAUUUCAUUGUGAAAUUACAUAUAAACACAAAGUAUUUUGGCGAGACUCUUGAGGGAGCAGGACAAGCUGAAGCUGUCCCCUAAGAAAGCGAGCCAACAAUACGAAGUAUUGUAAAUAAACAGCCAGUAA